rnacentral:lncRNA from 1 species
AUUCGGCAGUUGAAAUGGGGCGGGGCGGCGCUUAUUGGUUGGUGUGUGGUUGGUUUUUUCUCUCCCUUUCUUUCAAUAACAUCUUAUAUAUACAAAUGAAAAUAGGGUUUACUUAUUUUAAUAAAAUUCCAAUAUUGUCCUCAAUGAGUAAAAAUAGUGAAAAAAUGAGUUUUAAGAAAAUAAAUCAAAUAAAAAUAAAUUAA